CGUGAAUAUUUGCAGAAUGGACUGGAGGAACUAUUUUUGACCUUAUAAGUGCAUCAGAGGCCUUCCACCCACUCCUUCCUUUUGCAUGCAUUCUCCCCAAAGAUGGCAACAUGCCCAAUUGUUCGACACUGUUAGCCAGAGCAACUUUCCUCUCGCCAUUUAAUUACUCUACGUAAUUCCAAGAUCUGACCUUCCUCAACAUCUGCCCCUUGCCUCUUCUCUUCCUGGUGAAAUCCAGAAAUUUCUGUGAUGUCCUAGUGUAAUAAUGCAGGACACAUCUAUCGGUACCGUGACUCUUCUAGAAAUAAAAGGUGAGCAGAACAUUCCGGAAAUUUCUACGGCUAUGAGAAUAGUAUGCUUAAAGUGCUUACUAUCACCUAAAAUUGCCACUUCUUAGGGUUCUGAUCUUUUUCCUAUUCUAACCAUCCUAAAAAAGAAAUGGAAUUUCAUUUUGGGGGCCCUCUGGGAAUCUGACAAUCUCUCCUUCCUUUUAUUCAGUUAAAGGCUGAAAAUAUCAGCUGGCUCUUAUCUGACUCCCUGUCUAUUAACAUUAUGUUCUGAGGAAAGCCCCCUCCAGCUCUGUAAUUUUUUUUUUUUUACUUUUUUUGGUGAUGGGGAGGUCAUGGUAGACAAAUAAAAAUAAUUCCGAGGUUAUCUGAGAGCUGACAUUCCACACAAUAGCAAUAAGAAUGUUUUCCAAAUUUAAAACUCUGAUGGAGGAAGUGGGUUACAAUAGGAGCAACCUUUGACCCUGAUCAGUCAUAAUGGUUUCCUGGAUUCAGGGAUAUUAUGGGCUGGAGCCAAAGGUUUCAGCAGAGAAGGCACAAGAUGUGUUAAACUUAGAACACAAUGUGCGAGUUCCGGCUGGGGACAUUGGAGGGACAUCUUUCUUUCUUUCCGGUGAAAACGAUUCCUUUCCAAACAAGGACCUGGAUCUUUCUCACUGGCUGGCGAGUACCCAUGUGUUGGCUCUGCUGCUGAUCAGAAGAGGAAUUUUGCAUCCCUUGAGAUAUCUAUUUUGGGGAGAAAAACCAGGCCUCCUUAAUACCUUUGUGAGGGAUAUGAGAAGCGAAUGUAAAGAACUUAGCAUAUUGUCAGUUAUAUAUGAACACUGAAAAAAAUGCCGGCUAUGAUGAUGAUGAUGGCAAUGAAGAUGAUGAGGAGGAGGAGGGCGAUGAAGAUCAUAAUGAGGAGGAGAAGGAAGAAGAAAUGAAGAAGGAAGCGAUGAAGAAGAAGAAGAUGAUGAUGACGAUGACCACGAUGAGACUAAGGCCCAGAAGGAAGAGAUAACUGGUGAAUUAUGGAAGGACAGAUGAACGUGUCACGGAGAGCCAGAGCAGCUGCUCAGUCAGAUCUGAGUUCGUGGAGAUUCCUCCUCGUGGUCAAUGUUCUCUGCGAGAUGGCCUGACCCCUGCUCCCCCAGAGCAGUUCACAGCCAAUGAGUCCACGAGUUCUUGCCAAGCGCCACUUCUGUAUAAGACGUGAUGGGAGAGACCAGAAUUAUAAAAUAUGGUCCUUGUCUAAGCUCCUCCUCCGUAAGGAAAAGCCAAAUUUCCUUCUAUUCUCGAUGGUUCUUGCGAUUUCAUUUUGGAUUUCACCUCAGAUCCUGCCACUGGACAAAUGGACACACAGCCUUGGGGCCAGUGUGAGUGUAUUGUCUUGAGACCGUU
rnacentral:lncRNA from 1 species